ensembl:lncRNA
AAUAAAAAAAAUGCCACAGCCUUCACCUUCGAUCCACGACGUAGUGUGCUGCUGUCACCAUUCUUCAAAUCAUCAGAAAAUCUCUUCAAACCCACCAUCAGUUCUGGCUUUAACCUGACAGGGUGAGAGAGAUGAGGAAGAGGCAGCAUUCACCUUUACUCCCACAACAUCAUGGGUUCUUUGAAACAAUGCAGACAAACAAGUGUGAUGACCUUCUUACCAAUAUGGACUCCCUCCUAAGCCUCAGCUUGCCAGACUGGAGAAAGACGUUUCCAGUCAGGUUUGAGCUCAGGACUAUCAUCAGGCCAAUCCUCGACACACCUCUCCUGUUUUGGUGUCAAUAGGACAAAUGUGUUUCACCAGAAAAUCGUUCUGAGUGCUCGCUCUUCACACCUUCACCGUCCAUUUGUUCCAUAUACUGGCAGCAACACGGGGGAAAAUCGAAAUGAAGAAUAUGGUAACUAAAGUUUGAAACGAUGGUGCAGAUAAAGUCAAGAGUGAAAAGGGUAAACUGCUGGACAUUCUUGUUUUUUUAUAGAGAUAAAACAUAGUAAUCAUUAAACAAACAAUUUGGAAACACCACGCAAGACGAUAAUAAUUUAAAGAGUCACUUGGAAUGAAAGGAGAU